rnacentral:rRNA from 1 species
UACGUAGGGUGCAAGCGUUGUCCGGAAUUACUGGGCGUAAAGGGCUCGUAGGUGGCCAACUAAGUCAGACGUGAAAUCCCUCGGCUUAACCGGGGAACUGCGUCUGAUACUGGAUGGCUUGAGUGCGGGAGAGGGAUGUGGAAUUCCAGGUGUAGCGGUGAAAUGCGUAGAUAUCGUAAGGAAGACCAGUGGCGAAGGCGGGUCUCUGGACAGUUCCUGACGCUGAGGCACGAAGGUCAGGGGAGCAAACGGG